rnacentral:lncRNA from 1 species
GUUCAAGCUGCAGACAGAUGUGGAAAUGCUUUCCUGUUAAGCAUGUGAGACCUACAGCAGACACACUCAGGAUGUCUGCCUUCCCGAAAUAACGCCGGGGCAUUCCAGCUUUGUGAAAAUUUCCUGUAAUUUUCCUUGAUCCGUGUGACAGUUCGUGUCCAGAAGAGCCAUUGUCCUCAGGUUUGGCAACUUUACUGUGUCCUUCUUCUUUCAUUUUAAAAGGAAAAAAAGGAG